UGCUCCUACACUUGUUAGUAAGAACUUGGUCUUGUUGGCAGUCAUUGUGAGUGUUUGAUAAUCCAUAUAUCAAUGGAGACACUCUUUGCAACUAUCUUUGUGAAGAAAAUACCAAUCCUUUCACCCUUACUUAAUAUCAUUCAUACAGGCAUGGAUGAGAACCAGCAGCAAAGCAAAAUAAGCAAAAGUGCCAAUGAAAGAUUCAAUCCACUUACAGACAAAGAUGGUGCCUGUACAUUUUACCUUUAUUCUUAGGGUAAGACACAUGUAGAAAGCAAUAUUUCACAGAACAACAUCAUGUAUGCAAAUUUUAAAUUUUUCAGAUUUUUUCUGCUUGACUUUUUGAGUGGUUCCAGGAUUUUCUUGUGCAAAGAGUUCUGGGUGAAUGUACCAGUCACCAUGUUUUUUGGUAUGGUGGUUUACAUUGAUUGCUGUGCUCUACAUUCAUCAAUGAAGUACCAAUUAAUUCCUUUGCCAUCAGUAAUUGCUUUAAAUAUACUGUGUCAGAAAUCACAGCACUGUACCCCAAAAUUUAAUCUUGUCCAGGGCACAAUUUCAUAUUUUUGAGCAAGGCAAAGGUAAAAAUCAAACAAGACCACACAGACAUCAUCUACAAGACAACAUUACUAUGUAUAUAAUGUUUAUAUAGUUCGUUAUGUAAAAGCUACUCCAUUCAUUAAAUCAGUGUCAACACUCUCCCUCACUCUCCCUUGUAGCGGAUAUAAUUUUUAACCAACUUGAGAAAUAGUGGCCU